rnacentral:rRNA from 1 species
CUAGUUGUAUUAACUAUUAGUUAAUACAAGAUCGACUAUGUCGACUAAAGUUCUAGGUAGAAUAAUGAUGAUGACAAUUUUCUACCUAUAUGUCUUGACCAAAUCUCGUGCCAGCAGUCGCGGUAAUACGUGAAAGACUAGUGUUAUUCAUCUUUAAUAGGUUUAAAGGGUACCUAGACGGUUUAUCUAGCCCAAAACAGGGUACGGAUUUUCUAGAGUUUUAUGUGAGGAGGGGAGUACUCAUAGAGUAAAGAUGAAAUUUUGUGAUACUAUGGGGAAACUGGUGGCGGCGAAAGCAACCUUCUAUGUAUAAACUGACGUUGAGGGACGAAGGCUUGGGUAGCAAAUAGGAUUAGAUACCCUAGUAGUCCAAGCAGACAAUUCUGAAUGCCAUAGAUUAGAUUUUUUUUUGGUCUAUAAAUGAAAGUGUAAGCAUUCCACCUUAGGAGUAAUGUGGCAACACAGGAACUGAAAUCAUUAGACCGUUUCUGAAACCAGUAGUGAAGUAUGUUAUUUAAUUUGUUAGUCCUCAAAAAACCUUACCACAACUUGAAUAUUAUUUAAUUAAUACAAGCGUUGCACGGCUGUCUUCAGUUAAUGUCGUGAGAUUUUGGUUAACUCCCUCAAUUAACGUAAACCCUUACUUUA